UGGUGAGGCAGAAUAAGGUUAGGUGGGACAUUCCAACUAGAGAGAGAGAGAGGAAGGAGAAAGACAGAGCAGAGGAAACACUGCUAGCAAGAUGUAAAGUACUGCUACGGGACCAGGCAGGACACAGGAAAACUUCUACUACAUCACCUCACAAGAAUGUGGAGUCAAAUAUGAGCUGAGCUGAUCUAACUCCUGGAUUUGUCCUAUCAGCUUCCAGUGUCCACUUCUACUGAAAUACUACUACUGCUGCUGCUACUACACUACUCCUACCAUACCACCACUGCUGCCCCUGGGAUAGGGCGACCUCAUGCCCAGCUCACAGCUUUCCUGUAUCAGCUCCUUGACCUGGUGCUGCACGAAUCAUCACCUGGGUUCCAGUGGCCGAGUGUGAUGGUCUGGAUGAGAAAAACCUCCCUAGGCUCCGGUACUUGCUCUCCAGUUGACUGGAGGAAGCGUGCCGACUGCCCGGAGCAGUCUGGGAGAGUUCCCACGGAGCCCCACCCUACUUCCAGUGUCUGACUCAUGCCUAUGGUUCAAGUUCUGAUCCCUCAGCUUCCUGCUCUCGUUGCCACUGCUACUGGCAGCCAUACUGCUCUGUGUGUCAUGAUCAAUUCUUAACCCUCUGGA